rnacentral:rRNA from 1 species
GACGAACGCUGGCGGCGUGCUUAACACAUGCAAGUCGAACGGUAAGGCCCUUCGGGGUACACGAGUGGCGAACGGGUGAGUAACACGUGGGUGAUCUGCCCUGCACUUCGGGAUAAGCCUGGGAAACUGGGUCUAAUACCGGAUAGGACCACUGUCUACAUGGGUGGUGGUGGAAAGCUUUUGCGGUGUGGGAUGGGCCCGCGGCCUAUCAGCUUGUUGGUGGGGUGAUGGCCUACCAAGGCGACGACGGGUAGCCGGCCUGAGCGGGUGACCGGCCACACUGGGACUGAGAUACGGCCCAGACUCCUACGGGAGGCAGCAGUGGGGAAUAUUGCACAAUGGGCGCAAGCCUGAUGCAGCGACGCCGCGUGAGGGAUGACGGCCUUCGGGUUGUAAACCUCUUUCAGCACCGACGAAGCGCAAGUGACGGUAGGUGCAGAAGAAGGACCGGCUAACUACGUGCCAGCAGCCGCGGUAA